rnacentral:rRNA from 1 species
UACAGAGGCCCCAAGCGUUACUGAGAAUCACUGGGUUUAAAGGGUGCGUAGGUGGCGCGUUAAGUCCGUUGUGAAAGCCCUGGGCUCAACCCAGGAACUGCUUCGGAUACUGGCGCGCUUGAGGCUAGUAGGGGUUACUGGAACUGACGGUGGAGCGGUGAAAUGCGUAGAUAUCGUCAGGAACGCCAAUGGUGAAGACAGGUAACUGGGCUAGUUCUGACACUGAGGCACGAAAGCGUGGGAGCGAACGGGG